GACGAACGCUGGCGGCGUGCCUAAUACAUGCAAGUAGGACGCAGUUGUGAACGGGUGAGUAACGCGUAGGUAACUACCUAUUAGAGGGGGAUAACUAUUGGAAACGAUAGCUAAUACCGCAUACUAGUAGAUGGAACUGCGUUGUAUUAGCUACGAGGUAGGGUAAUGGCCUACCUAGGCAACGAUACAUAGCCGACCGUAGCGUGUGAUCGGCCAAACUGGGACUGAUACACGGCUCAGACUCCUACGGGAGGCAUCAGGAGGGAAUCUGCGGCAAUGGGGGGAACCCGGACCGAGCAACGCCGCGUGAGUGAAGAAGGUUUUCGGAUCGUAAAGCUCUGUUGUUAAGGUAGCGGUACUUAACCAGAAAGGGACGGCUAACUACGUGCCAGCAGCCGCGGUAAUUC
rnacentral:rRNA from 1 species